CCCGCGCCCCACCGCUGCCACCCUCCCCACGCCGCUGGCCACCGCCUCCCUCUUCCGCGCCGCCGGCCACCGCCUCUCUCCUUGCGUAGCUGGACGCCGCCUCUCUCCCCGCAGCCGGAUGCCGCAAGCUCCUCCAUGCACAGGUUUGCAACCCACUUGCCGCCUUCGUUCUCCAGCAUGCCCGGCCCCGCCAUCCUCAUCCACGCGUGUGGCGCCUCGACCCAAUGCUGACCUCCCUCCCUCGUCCCGGCUGCUGGUCGCCAUCCAAGUCAUACCAAUUAUUCUAGAAGCAAACUAACUUGGACUUCAUUGCACCAUUUCGGGCGCCGGCAGCUCCUUCCUUCGCCAUGGAUACACCAUAGACAUGUUAAGGACAGCGAUCCGGGUGCAUGGGAGCAACUGCUGAUGGAGGUUGAGUCAAAGUGUCGUGACUGGCUGCUGCAGAUCUUUGGCACGGAGUUCGACAAAGACACUCCUCUGAUGUCCAUGACCAAAAAUUGCAGAGUUCUACUUCCUCAAGAUAGGAGUGAGAUUCGAUGGGACACGACCAGAUUAUGAUGUUGGACUAGCAAAUUUAGCAGAUGAUGAUGUUGUACAUCAAUUCAGACCCGAGAGACCGUAAGCUAAAAGAAAAAUAUACAGGAGUUCAAAGUCGAGAAAUAGGGGGAUGUUUGUUCGUAUGUCUAAAAAUAAUUGAGUUUAUAUAGGAGUUCAAAUGGAUAAAAAAAUGAAUAUUUAUAUGUUUGAAGUUCAUCGACCAAAAUUCUAAAAGUUCAAAUUGAGAAAAGUGGUAAGUUCGGACGAAAAAUAAAUGAGCCCUUCGACAAUUUCACUGAGAAAAAGGUAAGGAGUUUAUGUAUAACUGUAGCUAGUGCCCCAUGAAUCAACAUAGCAAUGUAGUAAAAAAAGUUUGUUUACAUCUCUCUAGCUGUAUGAGAGUGAAUGUUUUGUUAUUAUAUCUGUUUCAUUGCUUGUCUUCAGUCACCUAAAUAAGGUCAAGAAAAAUCUGUAAGUUUGGUGCGUGUGCUGUUACAAAUCUAAACUUCUUGUCCAGUAAUUCUAGUACCGAUGAACAUCGAGUUGAUUGAAAUUAUGUACUCCUAGUUGGUUUCUGAGACCCUUACUGGUCCUUCUAUAUUUAGAAGUUGUGCCUGAUAGCCAUACAUGACUUCUCUGUAUGACAAAUGGUGCGAGAAAAUUCUGAAUACAUGGCACAACCGCUCUUGGACAGUAAACAUGCAUACCUUAUUUAUUUGUGCAUCCAGUCUGUGCAUCUUCUGUUCUAAAAUUCCUAGAGCGUCAGUGCAACUACAUAUCAGGGUAUACUAUGUUGAUUCUAUGAUUUUCCGUAUGCUUGUAUGUAAAAAAAUAUGGCAUAUUUACUGCUUCAUUUUCUUGUGGUGCGAAUGUUGUUGAUGUACAUAAUUUUUGCUGACCACCAGCCUCCCCCACUGCGCCGCCGCCCCGACCACCAGCCUCCCCGGGCAUGGUACGCAAUCCACUCCUUGUGCCACACCGUUCUCCAUGCCCCGCCCUGCGCCACCAGCCGCCGCCUCCCUCCCGCGCGCCACCCGCGACUGCCAUGCCAAGGCUUGUGCUCAGCGGCUGGGGGGGGAGCAACGGGGUCAAGGAUCUUCAUCUCGGCAGUACAACUGCACGCCCCGUCCACGUUCAUGAAAAGUGCUGCAUGCAGGCCACCCGUGCUCUGCCUUGGAUCCAUUCAACAAUCCAGUCGUCGUCAUCAUGGUUUCUGCCCGACGACCGUCAUACUUUUCUCAGUCCAACUUCUUGCUUCGCCGCCGGUCACUCAAUAAAGAGUCGUGUGCAAGCCACCCCUUGCUCCCCCCCCCCUGAUCCAACAUUUUUGUUCAACAGGGGCGUGGGGUUUAGUUCGACGGUGACGAGCCAGGCAGCCGGCCUUCGCAUAACGAACUGGUGCAGUUCGAUCUUGUGCGAAUUGGAAAUCCCCUGAUGCUGAGUGUGUCAGUACAACCCUACGCUACAAGGCACGCGUACAUCCACUUCACGUGUUAGUCAAAAUAGAACAAAUACUAUGUUUUAUGCCAAGUAAGUUCAAACAGAACGGAAGUGGAGCUUCAUUUGCAAAGAAUAGAAAAGGAACACAUGUUUCAUUUAUGUUUUUGAUGAAUCUAGCCUGAACUGAAGCCUGUCGGUGAGCCGGGCGCUGGGCCAACCACAAGGCAAUGCCACCGAGGAGGACGCUCGAUGGCCGCCGAGCGCCGUGUGAGCCUUUUCGAUCCCAUUUCCAGGUUGAACUCCAAGGAUCACGCCGUGGGGUGUGCAAAGGAAUGGUGGCAUGAAGCAGUUGAGUAGGUGUGCAUGGCCGUUCACUGCCUCAACACAAGGCCGUUCGAUGACGCAACGCUCAAGCCGUUCACCCUUGCCACCACAAGCCGUUCACCUCCGCCACACGAGGUCGUGCGACAACGCAGUGAUCAGGUUCUUCGCCUCUACCACAGCGAGCCGUUCACCUUUGCCACAGGUGGUCGACGCAGCGCUAAGGAUGUUUUGUUCUUUUUCAGUACAUGUUAUGUGUGCUUUUCAGUUCACCUACUUGGCGAUUCUAUGUCCAAUUUCCCCUCUGUUUGUGUGUUUUCCUAUAGCACAAGAGGUGUUGUGUGUUAUGACUUAAUAAGCAAAUAUUGUUUUGUUCUCAGUAUUCUCAUGUAGGCCAAAAUGGUGAACAUUUAAACAUCAGCCCAAAUUAAUAAAACUGAGAAGUUCUACUUUCA